rnacentral:rRNA from 1 species
AAUCAACGCUGGCGGCGUGCCUCAGACAUGCAAGUCGAACGAUUAAAGCUCUCUUCGGAGAGUGUAUAGAGUGGCGCACGGGUGAGUAACACGUAAGUAAUCUACCUUUGAGUGGGGAAUAACAGUCGGAAACGGCUGCUGAUACCGCAUAACGCAGCGGCACCGCAAGGUGACAGUUGUUAAAGGAGCAAUCCGCUUAAAGAGGAGCUUGCGGCAGAUUAGCUUGUUGGUAAGGUAACGGCUUACCAAGGCUACGAUCUGUAUCCGGUCUAAGAGGACGGUCGGACACACUGACACUGAAUAACGGGUCAGACUCCUACGGGAGGCAGCAGUCGGGAAUUUUGGGCAAUGGGCGAAAGCCUGACCCAGCAACGCCGCGUGAAGGAUGAAGUAUUU